UUUUUUUCUUACACACACAUACACUCUACUUCAAGGUGAAAGCGUUCAUCAAAAAUUCAUUGGAAGUUUAUGUGUAAAAUAGGGGAUUUUGCCUUACUCUGCACAAAGACUCAACGAAUGAAGAUUAUUGUUACACAAGGGAGGAUUCAGAGCAUGUCAAGCUAAAUAUGCAUUUUUAACUAGUUUGAGUCUUAAAUUUUGAUCUUUAAACUACUAGGACAGAAAAGCAACUAGUCUAGAAUAAUGUACAGACCUCUCUAUAUGACUUCUAUACUUGAAGGUCUAAAGACCAGGCUCAAACAAAACUCUUGAUUGACUUUUUUAAGCCACCUUCUUUCCUGGUGAUCUUCCUCCCUGGAAAUGGCACCCCUCUGUCAGUCUGGCCCAUCCUCAGUCCCUUUAUCUCCCUCCUGUCAUGUUCUUCAAGAGCAAGUCCUGCUGAAUUAGCGCCAAAGCCUUUCCCACCCCACCUCACUGCUCCCCCCAUAUCCUCCGCUGCCUGAUGCCAGACACCAGUGUUUCUUCCCCAGCAGCCACCACAGCUCCUUGCCUGGUGCUCCGGGUUCUGGUCUUGGUCUCUUCAAGAAGCCCGGAUGAUCUUAUUUUAAAAGAGCAUCACAUCAUGUUAUGAGUCUGAUGAACUCUAUCUAAUGGUUUCCCAACAUAGUUCAGUACCCAGCCCUCACCCUGCCUGCUGGGCAACAUCUCCGUCUACCUCUCUCCCCGUUGAUUCCACAGCUCCUAACAAGUGGCUUCAUUUCUGAUCUUCAAAGGGCCCAGGUCACUCCUGCCCUAGAACUUUUCUAUCUGGACCUUCCCUUCUCUGAAAAGCUCUCUUUGUACAUCUUGACAUGGCCACAUCCUGGACACAGAUUUCGGCAGGCUGUCAUCCCUUCCCUCUCUAAAGACACUCCCUGCCUCGGUCUCUUUACUUCACCGUGUUUUCGUUUGUUUUUGUCUUUUUCUUUAGGGCCAUACCCACAGCAUACGGACGUUCCCGGGCUAGGGCUCGAAUCAGAGCCACAGCUGCUGUCCUAUGUCACAGCUCACAACUACGCCGGAUCCUUAACCCACUGAGUGAAGCCAGGGAUCACACCCACGUCCUCAUGGAUACUAGUCGGAUUCAUUAGCACUGAGCCACAAUGGAAACUCCUACCAUGUUUUUUUUUUAACAUAUACUCCCCGAUUUUAAUUUUUUUUUAAUUUAGCUAUUACAUGCAUACAUUGAAAUGCACAAAAUGUAGAUAUUACAUAUGUAUAAUCAAAUGCAUAAAUGCCUUAAUUAUAAAACUUGAAUUUUUACAUGUGCAGCCAGGGUCACCACCUCACGGAUCAAGAGACAGGACAGUUCCAAAUCCCCAAAAGGUUCUAUUAUGUUCCUUCCAACCAUUACCCCCUCCAUCCUGUUGUCUUCACUGUGUUCUAGCAUCAUAACACAUGUGCACACCUGAUGGCUUGGGGAUUUAUGUAUUCGUGUGAAAUUCCCACUGGAGUGGGUACCUUCCGUGCUGUGUUCAUGGCUACACUCCCUGUGCUCAGCACAGAGUAGGUGCUCAAUAAUGAUUUUCUAAAUAAGUGAGUUAAUAGGGCCUGUCAACCAAAAUAUUAAAAUCAGCUGGGUUGAUGCGACUCAGCUACUGAAGUCGAAGUUGUUAAAAUUCAAAGGAAACCCAAAAACCGAACUGCUGCUCUUAACCCGGUAUUCCGGCUUUUAGUGGACUCCCCAGUACCCCCACAACUCCACACUGCAUGUGUCACCUCAGCAGAAGGCUUUCCUUGGGAACUAGCAGCCCUUUUUAGCUAAACAAGCUAAGAAGGGACUAAGUUGCUCAUCAAUAGUAGGUGUGGGGGGGGCGGGGGAUUAGAGAGUAAUAAACAUAUUCCUCUGUUAACAUUUUUGCCUCCUUUUUCUCUUUCUAUUGGCAAAUGAUAAGGGUUGUUACGAGAUUAUUGAACCACUUUAACCAUCUACAGUUGAUGGGCAAAGCUUUUCUCUAAUUAAGCAAAUCCUAGAGAUACAAGUCAGCUGAGGGAAGAUUUUCAUUUCUAACUAUAGGCAGCCACGAUGGAGAUAAGCAUUUUCCUACCUUUUUUUUGAUCCCUGCCCACGGAUGCACCACGGGCGGUCAACCACCCCAUCUCCGUGGAACCCCACGCACACGCACAAACCCCAGGCGUGGAGGCUUUUAAGCAGAACAAAUAGGAGGAGAGCACAGGAGAGGCUUGACUCAGAGCCUGACAAGGUAGAAUAAUCAAAAUGUGUUAGUACUUCCAUUGAACGGGAGACAUGCGAGUUAAGCAGCAAUUAAGUUAAUAAAUGGAUUCUUAUUUUCUUCACUGAAUCCAAAGAUCUCAGGCUAAUUGUCUUCUUGGUAACAUACCGCUUAUUCAUGAUUUUAAGCAGUGUUUUUAAUAAAGCAAAGAAGGCGGUGUGCUUUAAUAAGAGGAGUAUCAUUAGCUCAGAAGCCAGAGAGACCUGGGUUCAGAUCUCAGUUUAAUCCCUUGUAACCUGCUUCGCUGGAAGUCGGCCAAAUUCCUUUCGCUUCUGUUUUCUCCUCAAGUAAACAGGGUGAGAAACUCAGCAGGGUGCUGCAAGUACUAAAAUGGGAUGUUUGAAGGUGUACAGCACUUUGCCCAAUGGGGGGCCUUAAGUUCCUGACCUUCUGUCGCCAUCGUGAUUAUUGUUAAGCCCCGAACCGGCCUUCAUCAGCAAUGAUAGCCGUCUAACCAUUUUUUUCAGUGGGUUAGGUUCACUUUCAAGUGGUCUGGUCUCUCUUUAAAAUACAAGGUCCUAAACACAGACCAUGAGAGCCGGGAGCCUCUGAUCAAAACUAUCUUUCCCACUUCGAUCCUCGUAUCAAAUCCCUCGUGCUCAGCACUCCAAACUCAACAUCCUUCUCUGCACUCCUUGACCACGUCGACGCUGCCCUCGUCUUUCCGUGCCUGGUUCCUCCCCAUCCUGCAGGCCACAGGUGGCCGGCACGCAGGACACUUCAUGGCCUCUCUAUAAAACUGUUCUCCCAUCCAUCACCCUCUCCCAUGACCCUCUUUAUUGCCAGCAGGACACUUAGGUACAACCUGCAACAACCCGCCUUUCCUGUCUGUUUGCCUGUUUAACAUCUGUCUGCUCACCAGGGUCUGUGCUCCUCCAAGGCAGGGGUCUUAGCUGGUUCUCAGCCACCUGCUCUGAACAGGCUCUGGAUCCGUGCUUCUUUUAAGAAACAUGCAAGUGAGUGAACCUGUUUGGUAUGGCAGUGGUUUUGAAUGGGUUUCCCCCGAAAGGUCAACAAGACAAGGAUUUGGGUGCUAGUGAUUUGCUUGGGAGGUAACUUCAGGAAAACCCAGAGAGGAAGCAGGAGAGAGGGGCAGGGAAGGGACAGUAACUGGGAGAGGGGGGAUUUUCACACUUGUUACCACGGAGGGCGACCAGGGCCUCGCUGGGGACACUGGGAGAAGAGAAGGGCCACGUGGCUGUCCACACAUCCCACCCCCAUCCCAGGAGAGGUAUCCUCGCUGUCCCCACCAGUUCACAGGCCUUAUUGUUCGAGGACUAAUAGUCCUCAACAUUCCCAGCUCACUUCCAGACAGAGUGGGUUCCAGAGGCCAAAAAAAGCACCCAAAAAAUCACAGGGGCUGGCAGGUGGAAAGCAGGCAGGGUAUGCCUCAAAGUGCCUAAGUUCCAAGGACACAGGGGACAAAAUGGCUUUUAUUGUUGAAACCAAAUGCAGGGCACACAGGCCAGCCUCAAAAAUCAGGGCAGCACCCCAAAAUCUAUGAACCAGGCCUGAAAAACACACACACAACACUCAUAUAUGAUACACAGAGGGGGAUAUGCAUGCUACACCCACAGCAGCUUUCUGCUCUCCUCCCAAAUGACAUUUUGAGCAAAGCCUGACUGCAGAAAAUAAAGCCAACUGAGAGACAAGGCAACGCGUCGGUAAAUACGACUUCUGGAAUAUCUCCGCCGACACACAGGGACACCCCAGCAGUGGUCUGGGGAAUGGCUCCGAUUCCCUGACAUGAUGCUGAAAUAACCAAUAUCACAUUAACAAGGUUUAUGCUGCAAAUUACUCCGUACAAAGUGCUAUUAAAAGUCAGUGAUGAGUGAAAAUAGCCUUCACAAUUUCAUGUCAACAUUCAAACCCUAGAUUGAGUUUCUCCUCUCCAGUUUCAUUCAAAUAAUUAUCUUCCCUUGGAUUAAAUGAUAUUUUUUAAUUUGAUCGCGUCCCACAGCCGUAUGUUUAUUUUAUUUGGGGGAAGGAGAAAGGUAUCUUAAUUUCUCAUAAUAAGAGCUCUGGUGGAAGCUGGAACUUUAGUGACACGCCAGUAAUCAAAACUGAAUUCUAUACAAGAAGUAAAUUAUUCUGCCUUCCCAAUUAAUUUGCAAAUAGCCACAAGGCUAAUAAAAUGCAGGCACAAUUCUGAUUUCCCUUUUGCAAAAGCCUCGCUCCUCAAUAAUCAGGAGAAGAAAACUCACCGAGGUGUAGGUCACGCGCCAGAAAGCCGGCGUUUAGCCCCAGAAGCGCAGCGCAAGUGGCAGCGCCUGAAGCAGGAGGCGGAGGAAAACUCCCUCUGAUUCUUGUCUUCAGGUGCACGACGCUCUGUGGCCGGUGCUGGAAGACGCCGGCAUCCAGCCCCAGAAACUGGAAUGAAGAGAGGACCUCCCUGAGGACAUGACUCUGCAGGACGGCAAGCCCUCCAACGCCUUCUGAGGAAGGCCUCGAGGCUGACUCCACCUCCAGUUCAGUUCUUUGACAGCUGCAGGGCAGAUGAUCCUUCGAAAUCUACUUCUGUGGACGAGUGGGUCUCUUACUGCAUUGGGUGGCUUCCAGGCAAGAACCUGGCGGCUGUGUAUUAGCUUCCUGUGGCUGCUGGAACAAAAGACCACAGACUUAGUAUCCUAGAGCAACACACAUUGACUCUCCUGCAGUCCAGCUCAGAGAAGAUACCUCCUUGUCUUGGUCAGCUUCUAGAGGCCACCUGCACUCCCUGGCUCACGGCCUCACACUCCAACCAACUGCUGCCCCCAGUCUGCCGACUCUUUGAUAUUCUUGCUUCCCUCUUACAAGUACCCUUGUCCUUAAACCCAUCUGGAUGGUCCAGAACCAGCUUCUCUAACCAUGUCUGCAAAGUCCCUCUGCCAUGGAAGGUGACAUAUUCACAGCUCUGAAAAUUAGGAGGAGGACACCUCUGUGGGUCAUUGCCUGUCCAAUGCCGUGGUCAUCACCACUGCAUCUCAGGCACCUAGCCUAGAAAAGCCACCUCAGGUAACUGGAAUUGCAGUGAAGUGAAAUGGCAAUAAAAUGAGGGAAUUCCGAGCACAAGCACAAGCUCUGAGCGGGAAAUCAGGCUGUGAAUCCUGGCUCUGCUCUGUUAGCCUGACCAGCUUCUUGAACGUGUCUAAACCUCGGUUUCUUCACCUGCACAACAACACUUAAGAGCACCCGCCUUGAGUCGUUGAGAUAAAUUAGAUAAACCUGUUGAGUUUGGCCAGUGCUACACUCAGAACUCAAUAAGCUUUCACUGAGGCACUAAUGAAAUGAGGGGUCAGUAAAGGUUUUCUGUAAGGAGCCAGGCAGUACGUACUUUCAGCUUCAAAGGCCACGUGGUCUCUGUUGCAAAUAUUCAAUUCUGCAGUUAUAGUGCAGAAACAGUUGUAGACAAAGCAUAAAUGAAUGAGUGAGGCUAUGUCCAAAUAAAAGUUUAGGAGCCGGNCAAGUUUCCAGGCUAGGGGUCAAAUCAGAGCUGUAGCUGCCAGCCUACACCACAGCCACAUCCACGCGGGAUCUUUAACCCACAGCCCACUGAGCAAGGACAGGGAUUGUACCCGAAUCCUCACGGAUACUAGUCGGGUUCGUCACCACUGAGCCACAACGGAAACGCCUCACAUUUUAAUUUCAUGUCCUGA
rnacentral:lncRNA from 1 species